rnacentral:tRNA from 1 species
GGGGUUGUUGCUCAGUGGUAGAGCGCUUGCCUAGCAUGAAUGAGGCUCUGGGUUCGAUCCUCAGCACCACA